rnacentral:RNase_P_RNA from 1 species
AGAGCUGAUCGGGCAAUCGCGGUUUCUUGCGCAAGUGAGAAAUGGAGGAAAGUCCGGGCUCCAUAGGGUAGAACGCCAGAUAACGUCUGGGCAGCGUGAGCUGACGGAAAGUGCAACAGAAAGUAAAC